rnacentral:rRNA from 1 species
CAAUAGCGUAUAUUAAAGUUGUUGCAGUUAAAAAGCUCGUAGUUGGAUUUCUGGUAGGAGUGACCGUUCCGAACUUGAUUGUUCGUGUAUUGUGUUUUCUCCAGCCAUCCUUGUGGAGAACUUUUCUUGCAUUAAUUUGUAGGGAUUGGGACCCGCAUCGUUUACUGUGAAAAAAUUAGAGUGUUUAAAGCAGGCAAUCGCUUGAAUACAUUAGCAUGGAAUAAUAAGAUAGGACUUUGGUACUAUUUUGUUGGUUUGCAUACCAAAUUAAUGAUCAACAGGAACAGUUUGAGGAUAUUCGUAUGAACAUGUCAGAGGUGAAAUUCUUGGAUUUUGAUCAGACGAACUACUGCGAAAGCAUUUAUCAAGGAUGUUCUCAUUAA